CGGCCGGGAGCGGAAGGCGGUGUUUCGCCUGCCCGGGCUCCUGCGGCUGGUCUUUCCAGCCUCCUGCGACUUUGGCUGCUUUACCCGCCGAGCUCCUGGCAAGGCUUGUCCGGGGAUGCCGCUCGGCCGCUUUCCACGAGGAACUUAACCCGCCGUGCCUGCCUCCCGGAUGGGCCCGCCGGAAUGCUCUAAAGUCUACAGUGAAUAUUGAAUUGCUGAGGAAUUUGGGAAAAGACAAGCUGAAGUUCCCAUUCCAUGGAUCCCUUGGGUGCACCUUCCCAGUUUGUGGAUGUGGAUACACUACCAAGCUGGGGCAAUUCUUGUGAAGAACAAUUAACUACUUCUGAUACUGCAGCUGAAACAUAUCAGGAAGAGACUAUUAGAUCACCUUUUCUUUACAAUAAGGAUAUCAAUGGAAAAGUGGUUCUCUGGAAAGGAGAUGUGGCAUUACUGAACUGUACAGCUAUUGUGAAUACCAGCAAUGAAAGUCUUACUGAUAAGAAUCCUGUGUCAGAAAGUAUCUUCAUGCUUGCAGGGCCUGAUUUGAAGGAGGACCUCCAGAAACUUAGAGGUUGCCGGACAGGUGAAGCAAAAUUGACAAAAGGAUUUAAUCUAGCUGCCCGGUUCAUCAUUCACACAGUGGGACCUAAGUACAAGAGCCGCUAUCGCACAGCCGCUGAGAGUUCCCUAUACAGCUGCUACAGAAACGUACUUCAGCUGGCAAAAGAGCAGUCCAUGUCUUCUGUUGGAUUUUGUGUCAUCAAUUCUGCAAAACGAGGUUACCCUUUAGAGGAUGCGACACACAUAGCACUUCGCACAGUAAGGAGAUUCCUCGAAAUUCACGGAGAGACUAUUGAAAAAGUAGUAUUUGCUGUCUCUGAACUUGAAGAGGCUACUUACCAAAAGCUGCUACCUCUGUACUUCCCAAGGUCAUUAAAGGAGGAGAGUUGCUCAUUGCCAUACCUACCUGCAGAUAUUGGAAAUGCAGAAGGGGAGCCUGUGGUACCCGAACGGCAGAUAAGAAUAAGUGAAAAACCUGGUGCCCCGGAGGACAACCAAGAAGAAGAGGAGGAUGAAGGCUUGGGAGUUGAUCUCUCUUUCAUUGGCUCUCAUGCUUUUGCUCGAAUGGAAGGAGAUAUUGAUAAGCAAAGAAGACUGAUCCUUCAAGGACAGUUAUCAGAGGCAGCCCUGCAGAAGCAGCAUCAAAGAAAUUAUAAUCGCUGGUUGUGUCAAGCAAGAUCUGAGGAUCUAUCUGAUAUUGCUUCUCUAAAAGCCUUAUACCAAACAGGUGUUGAUAACUGUGGUCGCACAGUAAUGGUGGUAGUUGGAAGAAACAUUCCUGUAACAUUAAUAGAUAUGGACAAGGCUCUCUUAUAUUUUAUCCAUGUAAUGGAUCACAUUGCUGUGAAGGAAUACGUAUUAGUAUAUUUUCACACACUGACCAGCGAAUACAAUCACCUGGACUCUGACUUCCUGAAGAAACUCUACGAUGUUGUUGAUGUCAAGUACAAGAGGAAUUUGAAGGCUGUUUAUUUUGUUCAUCCAACAUUUCGUUCAAAGUUCCCUGAGCAGGGGUUGAAUCCGGGCCACAGCAGUGAAAGCCCGGAAGCUGAACCACUGGGCCACCGGGGAGCUCCCAGUGUUCAUCUUCUUGAUUGUGAUGAUGGUAUAAUGGGUGUAUACGUAAUGUCACAACUUAACAAAUUUUAUCCUUUAAAUAUGUGCAGUUUAUUGUAAGUUGGGUAUAUCUUAAUAAAACUUUUUUUUAAAACUGCAUGAGAUGUCACUGCACUGCCACCAGAAUGGCUAAAGUUUAAAAAACUGACGAUACCAGAUACUACCAAUGAUGUGGAGUAACUGGAAUUCUCCUACAGUAUAAGUCAGAAUGUGAAUUUCUGCGACCACUUUGAAAAAAGUUAUGACAGUUUCUUAUAAACUCAAUAUAUACCUAGUCUGUGACCGAGCAAUUCCAAUACUAGGUAUUUACCCAAGUGAAAUGAAAUAUAUGUGCAUAGAAAGACUUCUACAGGAAUGUUCACUGCAGCAUUAAUCAUAGCAGCCAGUGACUGCCAGCCAAGGUGUCCAUCAAUAGGAUUAUGAAUAAUUAAACUCUGCUGUAUACUUGUAAUGGAAUAUUUCUUGGCAAUAAAAGACAACAUCGAUACUACUGAUAUACACAACAGCAUGAAGGAAUCUUAAAAACGUUAAUGCUGAGUGAAGGAAGCCUUACAUAAAAGAGUCAUACUGUAUAAUUCCACUUAUAUGAGAUUCUAGAGCAGGCAAAACUAAUGCAUGGUAGAAGAAGAAUCAAAACAGUGUUUGCCUCUGGGAAGAGGGGCGUGAGGGAACUUUCUGGGGUGAUGAAAAUGUUUUGUAUCUCAAUAGGAGUUUUACUAAUACAAGUGUGUACAUCUGUCUAACCAGCAAAAGUACACUUAAAAUCUGUGUAUUUCAUCGAAUGUAAAUUUUAUAGCAAACUGCACGAACACUGAACUCUAGUUAAAGAUAUGAAUGCUGUAUUUGGGGAACGUUUACUGACGUCUGCAGUUUACUUUGAGGUGCAGCAAAAAAGUAAGAUGGGUUAAUAGAUGCAUAGAGGAACAGAUAGAUGUGUGAUGAAGAAAACUUAAGGAAAGUGUUAAUGAUCGUCUGAAUUAUUUCUGUACCAGUGUUCCCUGUAAAAUUCUUUCAACUUUAGUGAAUGUUGGAAUUUUCAUCCAAAUUAUGAAUCUUCAUAAUUUUUUAAUGGAAAAAAAACUUCUUUAACUUUUGUCACAAAUUCAGACUUAUCCAAAGAGUGUUACUCUGUACCAGACUUACGAGAAUACAUAGCCACUGUUAGCUAAGAUCUGACUUUAACCCCUCCUUCCCCACACAAGAGAGUCAGUGAAUAGCUAUCUUUCCCCCACUUGGACACCAAUGGAUAGACAUUACCAGAAAUUUCAGUGUUAGAGCCACUAGCGUUGGUUGCCACACCAUUGGAAUUGCUUCAGGUAGAAGUCAGUGCAGAUGACGGGUAGGCAGAGACUGAAGAGCAGAUGUAUGAAGUGAAAGCCAUUAUGUUACCUUUCAUAAUAUUUUGGGAUGGAGAAACUGAUGAAGGAUUGAGAAAAUAAAACCCAUGUGUAAUGAAAUCCACCAUUAUUUUAUACUAAAUCGAAAACUGUAAAUGGAGGGGUUGUAAUUAUAAAAUAAUGAGAUGAAAUCAAGGGAUAAUAAAACAAUAGAAUCACUGUCCUGAUUUCCAUACUUCUCAGAUCUUUUCCAGGACACUCCACCCAACGUGGUAUCAACAUGGUUUUUUACCACCUUUUCUGUCUCAGGACUGAAGGACAAAAUCCACCAUGUGGACAGCCUCCACCAGCUGUUUUCUGCCAUCUCCCCAGAACAGAUCGAC